ACGCUCGACACCUACGAGGCAGCAGUGGGGAAUAUUGCACAAUGGGGGAAACCCUGAUGCAGCGACGCCGCGUGAGCGAAGAAGUAUUUCGGUAUGUAAAGCUCUAUCAGCAGGGAAGAAAAUGACGGUACCUGACUAAGAAGCCCCGGCUAACUACGUCGCCGCAGCCGCGGUAAUCUGAGCGGGCUGGCAAGGC
rnacentral:rRNA from 1 species